AUUGAACGCUGGCGGCAGGCCUAACACAUGCAAGUCGAGCGAGCGGCGGACGGGUGAGUAAUGCCUGGGAAUUGCCCAGUCGAGGGGGAUAACAGUUGGAAACGAAUGCUAAAACCGCAUACGAUGGGAUUGCCCAGGUGGGGCUAGCUAGUUGGUGAGGUUAUGCCUGACCAAGGCGCCGAGCCCUAGCUCGUCGGAGAGGAUGAUCAGCCCGACUGGAACUGUGACACGGUCCAGACUCCUACGGCAGGCAGCAGUGGGGAAUAUUGCACAAUGGGGGAACCCCUGAUGCAGCCAUGCCGCGUGUGUGAAGAAGGCCUUCGGGUUUUAAAGCACUUUCAGCGAGGCGGCGUUACUCGCAGAAGAAGCACCGGCUAACUCCGUGCCAGCAGCCGCGGUAAUAC
rnacentral:rRNA from 1 species